rnacentral:rRNA from 1 species
AACGAACGCUGGCGGCAUGCCUAACACAUGCAAGUCGAACGAUGCCUUCGGGCAUAGUGGCGCACGGGUGCGUAACGCGUGGGAAUCUGCCUUUCGGUUCGGAAUAACUCAGGGAAACUUGAGCUAAUACCGGAUAACGUCGCAAGACCAAAGAUUUAUCACCGAAAGAUGGGCCCGCGUAGGAUUAGCUAGUUGGUGAGGUAAAGGCUCACCAAGGCGACGAUCCUUAGCUGGUCUGAGAGGAUGAUCAGCCACACUGGGACUGAGACACGGCCCAGACUCCUACGGGAGGCAGCAGUGGGGAAUAUUGGACAAUGGGCGAAAGCCUGAUCCAGCAAUGCCGCGUGAGUGAUGAAGGCCUUAGGGUUGUAAAGCUCUUUUACCCGGGAAGAUAAUGACGGUACCGGGAGAAUAAGCCCCGGCUAACUCCGUG